AACGAACGCUGGCGGCAGGCUUAACACAUGCAAGUCGAGCGCCCCGCAAGGGGAGCGGCAGACGGGUGAGUAACGCGUGGGGAUGUACCCAGAGGUACGGAACAACUUCGGGAAACUGGAGCUAAUACCGUAUGUGACCGAGAGGUGAAAGAUUUAUCGCCUUUGGAUCAACCCGCGUCAGAUUAGCUAGUUGGUGAGGUAAUGGCUCACCAAGGCGACGAUCUGUAGCUGGUCUGAGAGGAUGAUCAGCCACACUGGGACUGAGACACGGCCCAGACUCCUACGGGAGGCAGCAGUGGGGAAUAUUGGACAAUGGGCGCAAGCCUGAUCCAGCCAUGCCGCGUGAGUGAUGACGGCCUUAGGGUUGUAAAGCUCUUUCGCUCGCGACGAUAAUGACGGUAGCGAGAGAAGAAGCCCCGGCUAACUUCGUGCCAGCAGCCGCCGUAAGAC
rnacentral:rRNA from 1 species